GGUGGCUGCAGAGGUCUAAAUUUAGUGGAAAAAGACCCUUCCCUUUCACAGCUCUGGAUAUGACCCUGCUAGGGGAACCAACACCACCAGUAAUAGAAUGGCAUUGAAGGUGUAAGUGAAAAGAAGUCCUGGCAAGUGAGUGAUCAAGUCCGAGGAAAGUAGCUUGAUGGCUGAGUGCUGGGCCCCCUGCCACCCCGUCCCCGGCCCCUCCCCCUCGCCUCCCCUGCACUGCCUCCUCUUCUUGAUCCAGACACCACUGCUAUCCCGGCUGGACUCUGCUUCUGGAGCUGGUCUCUCUCCAGAGUGAGCUGAGAGAGCUUGGAGGUUGAUGACUGCAGCUGCUCACUCAGCUGGGAGAGCUGGGAGGUCUUCUCUGCCAGCACUUUGUCCUGCUCCAUCAGGGCUGUGCC